rnacentral:rRNA from 1 species
CGGACGUGAGGAACCUGCCUCGGAGUGGGGAAUAACACAACGAAAGACUGUGCUAAUACCGCAUGAUACAGUUGGGUCGCAUGACUCUGACUGUCAAAGAUUUAUCGCUCUGAGAUGGCCUCGCGUCCGAUUAGCUAGUUGGUGAGGUAACGGCCCACCAAGGCGACGAUCGGUAGCCGGACUGGGAGGUUGAACGGCCACAUUGGGACUGAGACACGGCCCAG